rnacentral:tRNA from 1 species
GCUUUCGUAGUGUAGUGGUCAGCACGCUCGGCGCGUAUUCGAGAGUUCCGAGGUUCGAGUCCCGGCGAGGGCA